UACGUAGGUGGCAAGCGUUGUCCGGAUUUACUGGGCGUAAAGAGCGCGCAGGCGGUCGUUCAAGUCGCGUGUGAAAGCCCCCGGCUCAACUGGGGAGGGUCACGCGAUACUGAUCGACUCGAAGGCAGGAGAGGGUAGUGGAAUUCCCGGUGUAGUGGUGAAAUGCGUAGAUAUCGGGAGGAACACCAAUGGCGAAGGCAGCUCGCUGGGACGGUACUGACGCUGAGGCGCGAAAGCGUGGGGAGCAAACAGG
rnacentral:rRNA from 1 species